rnacentral:rRNA from 1 species
GAUGAACGCUAGCGGCAGGCUUAAUACAUGCAAGUCGAGGGGCAGCAUGAAUGUAGCAAUACAUUUGAUGGCGAACGGCAAACGGGUGCGGAACACGUACACAACCUUCCUAUAAGUGGGGAAUAGCACAGAGAAAUUUGGAUUAAUACCCCGUAACAUAAUGAUGUGGCAUCACAUUAAUAUUAUAGCUAUGGCGCUUAGUGUUGGGUGUGCGGCUGAUUAGAUUGUUGGCGGGGUAACGGCCCACCAAGACUACGAUCAGUAGCUGAUGUGAGAGCAGGAUCAGCCACACGAGCACGUAGACACGAGCCCGACUCCUACGGGAGGGAGCAGUAAGGAAUAUUGGUCAAUGGACGCAAGUCUGAACCAGCCAAGCCGCGUGAAGGAUUAAGGUCCUCUGGGUUGUAAACUUCUUUUAUCUGGGAAGAAAAAAUGCGAUUCGGCGUCACUUGACGGUACCAGAUGAAUAAGCACCGGCUAACUCCGUGCCAGCCGCCGCGGUAAAAC